GGGACACGUGGUAUCCUGUCUGAAUAUGGGGGGACCAUCCUCCAAGGCUAAAUACUCCUGACUGACCGAUAGUGAACCAGUACCGUGAGGGAAAGGCGAAAAGAACCCCGGCGAGGGGAGUGAAAAAGAACCUGAAACCGUGUACGUACAAGCAGUGGGAGCACGCUUAGGCGUGUGACUGCGUACCUUUUGUAUAAUGGGUCAGCGACUUAUAUUCUGUAGCAAGGUUAACCGAAUAGGGGAGCCGAAGGGAAACCGAGUCUUAACUGGGCGUUAAGUUGCAGGGUAUAGACCCGAAACCCGGUGAUCUAGCCAUGGGCAGGUUGAAGGUUGGGUAACACUAACUGGAGGACCGAACCGACUAAUGUUGAAAAAUUAGCGGAUGACUUGUGGCUGGGGGUGAAAGGCCAAUCAAACCGGGAGAUAGCUGGUUCUCCCCGAAAGCUAUUUAGGUAGCGCCUCGUGAAUUCAUCUCCGGGGGUAGAGCACUGUUUCGGCAAGGGGGUCAUCCCGACUUACCAACCCGAUGCAAACUGCGAAUACCGGAGAAUGUUAUCACGGGAGACACACGGCGGGUGCUAACGUCCGUCGUGAAGAGGGAAACAACCCAGACCGCCAGCUAAGGUCCCAAAGUCAUGGUUAAGUGGGAAACGAUGUGGGAAGGCCCAGACAGCCAGGAUGUUGGCUUAGAAGCAGCCAUCAUUUAAAGAAAGCGUAAUAGCUCACUGGUCGAGUCGGCCUGCGCGGAAGAUGUAACGGGGCUAAACCAUGCACCGAAGCUGCGGCAGCGACACUAUGUGUUGUUGGGUAGGGGAGCGUUCUGUAAGCCUGUGAAGGUGUGCUGUGAGGCAUGCUGGAGGUAUCAGAAGUGCGAAUGCUGACAUAAGUAACGAUAAAGCGGGUGAAAAGCCCGCUCGCCGGAAGACCAAGGGUUCCUGUCCAACGUUAAUCGGGGCAGGGUGAGUCGACCCCUAAGGCGAGGCCGAAAGGCGUAGUCGAUGGGAAACAGGUUAAUAUUCCUGUACUUGGUGUUACUGCGAAGGGGGGACGGAGAAGGCUAUGUUGGCCGGGCGACGGUUGUCCCGGUUUAAGCGUGUAGGCUGGUUUUCCAGGCAAAUCCGGAAAAUCAAGGCUGAGGCGUGAUGACGAGGCACUACGGUGCUGAAGCAACAAAUGCCCUGCUUCCAGGAAAAGCCUCUAAGCAUCAGGUAACAUCAAAUCGUACCCCAAACCGACACAGGUGGUCAGGUAGAGAAUACCAAGGCGCUUGAGAGAACUCGGGUGAAGGAACUAGGCAAAAUGGUGCCGUAACUUCGGGAGAAGGCACGCUGAUAUGUAGGUGAAGUCCCUCGCGGAUGGAGCUGAAAUCAGUCGAAGAUACCAGCUGGCUGCAACUGUUUAUUAAAAACACAGCACUGUGCAAACACGAAAGUGGACGUAUACGGUGUGACGCCUGCCCGGUGCCGGAAGGUUAAUUGA
rnacentral:rRNA from 1 species